rnacentral:rRNA from 1 species
UACGAGGGUGUAAGCGUUAUUCGGAAUCACUGGGCGUAAAGGGUGUGCAGACGGUUUAUUAAGUUGCUUGUUUAAUUCUUCGGCCUAACCGAAGGCUCGCAAGCAAAACUGGUAGACUUGAGGAUGGAAGAGAGAAGUGGAAUUCUCGGAGUAGCGGUAAAAUGCGUAGAUCUCGAGAGGAACACCAAUGGCGAAGGCAGCUUCUUGGUCCAUUCCUGACGUUCAUACACGAAAGCGUGGGGAGCAAACAGGAUUAGAUA